GACCUCAGAUCAGGCAAGGCUACCCGCUGUAUUUAAGCAUAUUAAUAAGCGGAGGAAAAGAAACUAACAGGAUCCCCUAGUAAUGGCGAAUGAGCGGACAGCCAAANUUNGAAANUCCCGAAAA
rnacentral:rRNA from 1 species